GGCGAAGUGGCCGAGCGGUCUAAGGCGCCGUGUUAAGGUUACUAUCAGUAAUCCCGCGGUCCGAAAGGGCGCGAGUUCGAAUCUCGUCUUCGUCA
rfam:Saitoella complicata NRRL Y-17804 DNA, contig: contig040, whole genome shotgun sequence.